CAAACGUAGAGGACUUGUGUGAAAUCAGACAACCAUUUAUUGUUUGUUUUCUCUCGUUACAGUUUCGUCAGAAAAGUUCAUUCACUUCCAGGAAUUAUAGGUGAACAGAUGCCGCUACUAGAGAGGUGAACAGAAUGGAAUACGAGUCAUAACGUCCCCCACAUUAAGGAUUACACAUGAAAUGGGACAACCUUCGCAUGCGGAAUAUGAGUGAUACCGUCCCCCACAACAAAGGAUUUAACACAUGAAUUGGGAGAAUCUUUGUUUGUGGAAAAGAAGUCACAACAUCCCCAAGAUUGAGGAUUUCCACCCAGUGGAAGCAAACCUUUCCUCUCACCUACAAAAAUAAUAGUCUUGGUUCUCAGGCACCGCCCGCAUCAUCAUAAAGUUUGCAGCAUGUUUCGCUUUUAUUUCCAUUUUAAAAUAAACAACAAAAAUCCAACUGAAGCCAAAUAUUGUAUUCCUGUAUUUUACUCAUGAAGGAAUACAUUUAUGUAGGGAGGCCCUUUCCCGGGUUGAUUGUACACAACUAAUUUUUGGUUACACAAUUGUUUAUUUGGUUACAUACUAGUUUGAACAAAGAAACCAAAACACAAAAAAUGUUUUUAGAAAAAUCACCACCCGUCCGCACUAUAUUUUCAAAAGUCAUUGCCUGAGAACCAAUUCUUUUAUUCUUAUUUAGCCUUACCCAGAAAGUGUAUUGACAGGCCUAAGACUGAAGGUUAAUACAUUUUCUCAUGAUGUGAUACAUAUCUGGAUAGUUUCGGUGAAAGGAUACACAAUAACACUUUUGUAUCUGGUUUUGAUACAUAUUAGGUUUCAUUGGCAGGCCUGUGGAACACAACAGUCCAGAACUAUGGGUUCAACAUGUGAUAACAGCUUCAUUACCAAUGGCAACACUAUACACAUGUACAUUACCCUCCUCCAUCACCCCUAAAUACAUCUGGCUGGUCAUCAAGUAGUGUGGCCUUGUAGCGAUCAUGGAAGUGAAAUGACCCCAACUCUGUGCAUGAACCUCGUAUGAACCCUGCCAAGAACCACCCUACCACUGCCUGAUGCUGGAGCAAUGUGGAGUGAGUGAGUGAGUAUGGUUUACGCCACUUUUAGCUAUAUUCCAGCAAUAUCACGCCCGGGGACACCGGAAAUGGGCUCCACACUUCGAACCCAUGUCUGGAAUAAAACCUGGGUCUCCGGCGUGACAAGCCAACGCUUUAACCGCAUGGCUACCCUUCUGCCCUGGAGCAAUGAGGCCAUCAAGAUGUGGCAUGUGUUAAACGUCGAAUAUUGCCACCUCGGGGAUGUAAUCAGAGUACUCAUGGUCAGAGCACCUGUUCAGGUGUACAAGUUUUUUAUCAGAGACUCAACUUUCAGGUUUUUACAGUCCAAGUAAGUAAAUAACUCAAACUCAUAAGUUUACGCUGAAUAUGAACCGAAGCAGCUAUAAACAAAGUAGAGUGAAAAAAUAUGU